AUUGAACGCUGGCGGCAUGCCUUACACAUGCAAGUCGAACGGUAACAGGUCUUCGGAUGCUGACGAGUGGCGAACGGGUGAGUAAUACAUCGGAACGUGCCCGAUCGUGGGGGAUAACGCAGCGAAAGCUGUGCUAAUACCGCAUACGAUCUACGGAUGAAAGCGGGGGAUCGCAAGACCUCGCGCGGACGGAGCGGCCGAUGGCAGAUUAGGUAGUUGGUGGGAUAAAAGCUUACCAAGCCGACGAUCUGUAGCUGGUCUGAGAGGACGACCAGCCACACUGGGACUGAGACACGGCCCAGACUCCUACGGGAGGCAGCAGUGGGGAAUUUGGACAAUGGGGGAAACCCUGAUCCAGCCAUGCCGCGUGCAGGGAUGAAGGCCUUCGGGUUGUAAACUGCUUUUGUACGGAACGAAAAGGUACCGUUUCUAAUAAAGAGGGCUCAUGACGGUACCGUAAGAAUAAGCACGGCUAACUACGUGCCAGCCGCCGCGGUAAUACCA
rnacentral:rRNA from 1 species